rnacentral:rRNA from 1 species
AUACGUAGGGGGCGAGCGUUGUCCGGAAUUAUUGGGCGUAAAGGGUGCGUAGGCGGCCUUUUAAGUCAGGUGUGAAAGGUCACGGCUCAACCGUGGUAAGCACUUGAAACUGGAAGGCUUGAGUUAAGGAGAGGAAAGUGGAAUUCCUAGUGUAGCGGUGAAAUGCAUAGAUAUUAGGAGGAAUACCAGUGGCGAAGGCGACUUUCUGGACUUAAACUGACGCUGAGGCACGAAAGCGUGGGGAGCAAACAGGAUUAGAUACCCUGGUAGUCCACGCCGUAAACGAUGAGUGCUAGGUGUCGGGGGUUACCCCUCGGUGCCGCAGCUAACGCAUUAAGCACUCCGCCUGGGGAGUACGUGCGCAAGCAUGAA